CUAUUUACAUCCUUAAUUAAUGCCAGAGUUAAAAUUCUGAAUAGGAAAAAAAAUUCUUAAAAUAUGAAAAUAAAAAAAAUAUCCCAAAUUGACAAUUGGAUCGAAAAUCUAGGCAAUUCAAUCAGCUCCGAUCAGUCUAAAUUCAUCCGAUAUCAAUCGACGUAUCCGGCCGCUGACGAGUACUGAUCCGUCGGAGUCGACGACGUAUAGUAGAAAUGAAUAGCAGGGGUUCCGCCAACCGGUUAUCAUCCACCUCCAAUUUCCGAUCUCGAAUCUCGUUUCUAAUGCUCUCUAUGUUCUCUACAAUGGCUGCUCUUUAUGUUGCCGGCAGGUUGUGGAUGGACUCGGAGAAUAGGGUAUAUCUUAUUCAAGAGCUUGAUAGGAGAACCGGACAGGGCCGUUCGGCUAUAUCAGUAGAUGAUACACUGAAGAUCAUAACCUGCAGGGAACAACAGAAGAGGCUGACUGCACUUCAGAUGGAACUGGGUAAAGCCAGUGAGGAAGGUUUUGUGUCAAAGCAUCUACUGGAUAACAAUGAGAAGGAUUCAAAGAAAAAACUUCUAGCUGUUAUAGGUGUCUCUACAAAUUUUGGCAACAAGAAAAACAGAGACGCAAUUCGCAAAGCAUGGAUGCCUACUGGUCCUGCUCGUAAAAAGUUAGAGGAGGAGAAAGGUAUCGUAAUUCGAUUUGUCAUAGGAAGAAGUUUGAAUCGUGGAGAUAGUUCGGAUAGAGCCAUUGAUGAUGAAAGCAGGAGUUUCGAUGACUUCAUCAUUCUUAAUGAUCAUGUGGAGUCCCCUCAAGAGCAAUCAAAGAAGACAAAGUCAUUUUUUGCUCACGCUGUUGAGCAUUGGGAUGCUGAGUUUUAUGCCAAGGUCAACGACAAUGUCUAUGUUAAUUUAGAUGCUAUUGGAUCUGUACUUACCACCUAUCUGGAUAAGCCUCGUGCCUACAUAGGGUGUAUGAAAUCUGGCGAAGUUUUUUCACAGCCGGAACAGAAAUGGUAUGAGCCAGAGUGGUGGAAAUUUGGGGAUGGAAAAUCAUACUUCAGGCAUGCUUCCGGUGAAAUAUUUGCUGUAUCGAAGGCCUUGGCUCAAUUUAUUUCUAUCAACAGAUCAAUGCUUCGCUCAUAUGCUCAUGAUGAUGUGAGUGCUGGAUCCUGGUUCAUUGGCCUUGAUGUGAAGUAUGUUGAUGAAGGGAAGUUCUGCUGUUCUUCCUGGUCUUCAGGGAAUGGUAGAAGAUCCACUUUGAAGUGAAAGGUAGAAGAGAUAAAUCUUGGUGCUAGAAAAGGAACUGAAGACAAUUGUUGCCAGAGUUAUUAUGUCAGUAGGUGUUUUGGUUAAAGAAAGCUUAUAUAAAGAGGGGUGGAGAAAAAACAACUCCUGUAUUGGGUCUGUAUGCGCAGCAGCUUGAUUGGAUCGCCUCAUUUAGUACAUAUAGAGAACAAGUCACUGGAGAUCAGUUUUGCUGCAAUUUGCAUUUGGUGCCGUGUACAAAGGUGGUUGAAGUUUUUCACUCCAAUCAUGAAGAGCCGCGUGAUAGAGAGAGCACACACCUUAGUUCUUGACAUCACCAUGCCUUCCAGUAGGAAUGUAGAAAGGGUUGUUGGAGUGUAAGACACUAUGGUCAGAAAAGUUAUUUGCAUGGUGAUGUAUUCACAGAGUGCACACAUUGUCCAUUAUUUAAGCAUGGACUAUUACUAUCAAUGUUAUGCAGAUAUUAAGUUUGUUGAACUAUGUGAGGAUUGUCAAAUCUCUUGAAGAUUGCUUCUUUAGCAAUUUCAAAUAUGAAUUAGUGAGCUUUGAACUUACGACUUA